UAGGGAAUCUUCGGCAAUGGCCGGAAGUCUGACCGAGCAACGCCGCGUGAGUGAAGAAGGUUCUCGGAUCGUAAAGCUCUGUUGUUAGAGAAGAACGUUGGUAGGAGUGGAAAAUCUACCAAGUGACGGUAACUAACCAGAAAGGGACGGCUAACUACGUGCCAGCAGCCGCGGUAAUACGUAGGUCCCGAGCGUUGUCCGGAUUUAUUGGGCGUAAAGCGAGCGCAGGCGGUUCUUUAAGUCUGAAGUUAAAGGCAGUGGCUUAACCAUUGUACGAUUUGGAAACUGGAGGACUUGAGGGCAGAAGGGGAGAGUGGGAUUCCAUGUGUAGCGGUGAAAUGCGUAGAUAUAUGGAGGAACACCGGUAGCGAAAGCGACUCUCUUGUCUGUAACUGACGCUGAGGCUCGAAAGCGUGGGGAGCAAACAGG
rnacentral:rRNA from 1 species